AGAUCAUGACCUGAGCCAAAGGCAGAUGCUUAACGACUGAGCCACCCAGGAGCCCCUAUGGAUUUCUUUUCUAACAUCUAGAAAAGAACUUUCAGGUCAGUAGUGAGAAUGUGUCCAGCAGAUGGGUAGACUGAUGCCUGGAGAGGAGAAACCACCUGCCCGAGGGCCAAAGGAGACCCCCAUCAUCCUAACCUUGCACUUGGACGCUUCCCUCUGGAGCUCGGUCUCAGGAAGAUCCCUUCAAGAAAUCACCAGAAACCGAGGGGCAGCAUAAGCCCACAGGCUGCUGGUGCUCAGACGGUUGGGCUGUGACGCCCAGUGACAGGGAUGUAGCUGCGUGGGAGCCCUGAGGAAGCCGAGGGCCAGAGCCAUUUCCUCGUUCUCACCACGGCUUCGUCCUCAAUCCCCAGCCCGUGCCACAAGCCUGCAGCCUGGACUGGAGGCUGGAGGCAGCUGGGAAAGGAAGCAGGGCCUUCUAAGCAGGACUCCAGGGAAAAGCGGCAGGCUGGGGCCGUGGGUGACACCCCAUUUCCCUGCUGCUGCUGCAACCUUCCUGGGCACAACCAGGAGCUCCAGAAGUACAGGAUCAGGACGCUUGCACUGAUCUCCCUCAGGACACGGAAGCUGCAUGAACCUGUGCUGGGGGUGGCAUGUCCACCAGCUGGCAAACUCCUUUGCUGACUGCCCACCACGCGGACCCCCGUGACCCUCCCGGGCCCCUCACUGCCCCACCCUGGGGUCUGCGGGGUGGUGGUCCUGGGUUCUGUGACCUGCAGCCCCUGAACUCCAUGGCUCCUCUGUGGUCAGACACUGCCCAGUGGGCCAGGGCUGCUCUUGCGUCUUCUCUCCCAGCCCUGCCCUUGCAAGAGAUCAGGUGCGAGCGGUCUGUGAGAAGUCCAAGGGCAUACACAGAACUGCCGUGGGGCCUAGGGCCUGAGCCCCAAGGAGGGGGGUAUGUGGAACACAUGUCACAGGGAGUGGUAGUGGAGGCAGUGAGGGCAAGCUGACCAGCAGUGGAGGGGAAAGCAGACAACUGGCCUUGGACACUUUGGUGUCACUCUCCCCGAGGAGGGGGCUCCCAGGACCAGGGGUGGGGUGCACAACAUUGGGGCCGCCCCUGAGUCGGGGAGGUCCCUGCAGCGCCGUGCCUAGUGGGGCCACCUGCUCUCCUGGGGGAAUUCAGGAUUGCCCUGAGGUCCAAGGAAGCUGGAGAAAUGUGAUAUCACGGGUUGCAGAUGGUGGAGCCAAGGCACAGACAGGGCCAGAGUCAGGAGCGCGGGACCCAGGUCCUCCACAGCAAUGCCCCUCCCUAUAGGUCAGAGUCCCAUGAAAAUGGAAGGGCCACGCGGAGUGUGCGGUGGGGAGCAGAACACGGUAUGGAUGGGGUGGGAGGCCGGCCAAGGGCAUCAGCAUCCUUGACACUGAGCAGCUGCCCUGGGAGAGGGACUGACGUGCUCUGGACAACCCCAGAGGACAGGACCAGGCCAGGUCUGAGGGAGGAAACUCGUCUUUUCUUUGAUGGUGCUAUGGGCUGCACUGUGAGGUGGUGAGCUCUUUGUCCUGGGAGGUAUGAAAGAGAAAGCCAGGCCCUGGGGGUUCCAAGGACCAAGAAGUGAGCACCUUGGAUCUGGGUUCUUUUUUUUUUUUUUUUUUAAAUAUUUUAUUUAUUUAUUUGACAGAGAUCACAAGUAGGCAGAGAGGCA